rnacentral:tRNA from 1 species
GGGGGUAUAGCCCAGUGGUACAGUGCAUGCCUAGUAUGCAUGAAGUCCUGGAUUCAACCCCCAAUACCUCCA